AAUCUUGUAGUUUAAUAAAAACCUUAAAUUGCAAAUUUAAAAUUGAAUUAGUUCUAAGAUUU
rnacentral:tRNA from 1 species